ACUGAACGCUGGCGGAAUGCUUUACACAUGCAAGUCGAACGGCAGCACGGACUUCGGUCUGGUGGCGAGUGGCGAACGGGUGAGUAAUGUAUCGGAACGUGCCCAGUCGUGGGGGAUAACGUAGUGAAAAUUACGCUAAUACCGCAUACGAUCUAUGGAUGGAAGCGGGGGAUCGCAAGACCUCGCGCGAUUGGAGCGGCCGAUAUCAGAUUAGGUAGUUGGUGGGGUAAAGGCCCACCAAGCCAACGAUCUGUAGCUGGUCUGAGAGGACGACCAGCCACACUGGAACUGAGACACGGUCCAGACUCCUACGGGAGGCAGCAGUGGGGAAUUUUGGACAAUGGGCGAAAGCCUGAUCCAGCCAUUCCGCGUGCAGGAUGAAGGCCCUCGGGUUGUAAACUGCUUUUGUACAGAACGAAAAGGUUUCUACUAAUACUAGGAGCUCAUGACGGUACUGUAAGAAUAAGCACCGGCUAACUACGUGCCAGCAGCCGCAGUAA
rnacentral:rRNA from 1 species